rnacentral:rRNA from 1 species
AUGAAUGUCUAUCUCGUAAAUCCAUCCUUUUCGGGUUUUGGCAAGGCUUCUGGGCUUCAUGCUUACAUCAACAAAAGUGCUUUCUACCCUAUCCGUGUUGACCAUAUUGAUGUUUCUACUCUUUUGCUAUCCUUCCCGGUGCCUAUAAAGCAAUUCCCAUGCAUCUAUCUGGGUCUGCUGCUGCAUCAUAAAACUCUAUCCAAGGGUGAUUUGCAACCAACUUUGGACAAAAGCGCAGCUAGGUUGCAGAGAUGGCGUGGGAAGCUCAUGUCCCACAUCGCCAGGUUAACUCUUGUAAACUCUGUCCUCUCGGCCAUCCCUAUUUAUCUUCUCUCCAUAUUUAAGGUUGGGCGUUGGGCCAUCAAGAUGAUCGACAAGAUGCGUAGAAACUUUCUUUGGAAAGCUGAUCCUGAAGCCACCCGGGCCAACUGCCUUGUUAGUUGGAAGCAGGUGUGUCGUCCCAAGCUACUAGGAGGGCUGGGAAUCAUUGAUCUGCUGUGCUUUGGUCGCGCUUUGCGAUUGCGUUGGCUGUGGUUUGAAUGGGUUGAUAGGGAAAGGCCAUGGAUUGGAUCCAAAACCCCCUGUGAUAGUAGGGAUGUUGCUUUGUUCAAAGCUUCCACAGAUGUAUCACUUGGCAAUGGCGCUAUUGCCAACUUCUGUUGCUCCCAUUGGCUGCAAGGCAAGGCUCCCAGAGAUUUAGCGCCUUACCUCUUCAAGCUUUGUCCAAACCAAUCAUUACCUUUGGCUGCUGGACGUGCCCAAGAAGGUUGGAUAAGAGAGGGUUCCACCGUAUAA